UACUCAGACUGGCAGCAUCACCGCAGCUUUGGAUUCGUCUGAACCAGGAUCAUGUUCAAACUCUUCAUUGUUUUGGUCUCUCUGCACUUCUGCUCUACAGACCAAUCAAAAAACAACGUUCAUCAGACUCCAGCUUCGUUGAUCAAAGAACCAGGAGAAUCAGUCCAGAUAAGCUGCAAUCAUUCAAACACCAAUUUCUAUAUGAUCCAGUGGUACAAACAGCCUCCUGGGAAAACUGACAUGACUCUCCUCGGUUACGUUUAUUAUUCUGCACCAACUGUUGAAAUGCAGUUCCAAAACCUGUACAAUGUGUCGGGUAGCGGCCAGAGUCUGUCAUCUCUCGUCAUUCCAAAGCUGAGGCAAUCUGAGGACAGCGCCGUGUAUUUCUGUGCUGCCAGUGAUGCACAGCACUGCAUGAAGCCUCAGACUCCAACAAAAACCCUCAUUGAUACCAGAGGAGCCAUCAUUCACCUGCUGAUGGCAGCAAGAGAUACUGGAAAACCUCAGAGGAGAGACUGAUCUGUGGAGCUGUUCUGUCCACUAGGAGGCGAUGUUUCUCACAUAAUGCUCUCAAUCUGAAGCAGCUAA